UACGAAGGGUGCAAGCGUUAUUCGGAGUUACUGGGCGUAAAGAGCGUGUAGGCGGUCUUAUAAGUCGAUUGUUAAAUUCCACAGCUUAACUGUGGGUCAGCAAGCGAUACUGUAAGGCUAGAGGAUAAGAGAGAGAAGUGGAAUUCUCGGAGUAGCGGUAAAAUGCGUAGAUCUCGAGAGGAACACCGGUUGCGAAGGCGGCUUCUUGGCUUAUUCCUGACGCUGAGGCGCGAAAGCGUGGGGAGCAAACAGGAUUAGAUACCCUGGUAGUCCACGCCGUAAACGAUGAUCACUAGAUGUUGGUAGUGCUUAGCAUUAUCGGUGUCGAAGCUAACGCGAUAAGUGAUCCGCCUGGGGAGUACGGUCGCAAGAUUA
rnacentral:rRNA from 1 species